CACAGAGAAACCGAACCCCUGCCUGAGGCAGCCACCACCCCGUAACCAUACAGAAGUCACUGGUGUACAAAGACUGCUGUCUGUUCUCGCUGGGACAUCCCCUUACGGCUACGUGUCGGAAUAAUGACCUCCGGUGCCAUGAACUCGGUGCAUGUGGCCCAGUGAUGGGGUCACCAAGGUCAAGAGGCUCACGUGACUUGCCCAAGAACAGAGAUGAGAUUAGAGCUCUGGCAUUUCCCAGCCACACCUCUUUCUUUCUUCUGUUCCAGGGGACAGAAAACCGUGCUGCAGGUAGACCAACUGAAUAUCCUCUCUGGCACUUUGAAGCAACUAUUGCAGAUGACUCAUCCCAAUUCCCACACAAAGACCUCCCGGGACAGCACGCUUUGGGAGGAGUCAGUUCACUGAGUUCAACGUGUUCAAUCCAAGCUGCUGGUUCUUUACCUUAAAAAUGAGUCUUCGUGCACUAAUACCAGACCCCUCCCCAAGGAUAUACAACAGUGGGCUGCUGGUGACCCUGGGGAAAGCUGUCAAAGCUACAGAACUGCACUGGCAGAAAGUUUGGUGGAUGUCUCCUGUCAGGCCUGAUGUUCUGCCAUUCCCACUGUCUUUCAGUGAAGAGCUAGAGGCCUGCACAGUGUGUGGUGUAAUGUACCAGCCAAUGGGUGUAUUUGCCAUGUGUUUUACCAGCAUAGCACAACCGUUUGUGAUUGUGUGGCCCUCUAGCCAAAGACAAAAUGAUAAAAGCCUUAGCACUUGCAGCAGCUAGCAGUGAAUCUACUUUAGCUCAUAUGUUUUGGGUUGCUAAUCCUAACUAAUUCCUCCCAUGGAGGGUAGGACUCUGCCGCCUGUGUCCAUUUGUAGCCACAGAUUUGUUGCGUUGUCUCUCUGUGCAGCUGUAACUUUGGCACUAAACUGCACAGAAAACAGGGCUUACAAACACCCAACUUUCCAUCACUGCUCAGAGAGAGGAAGAGAGGUUGGGAUGUUAUUUUUUUGGGUGAUAUAAAGU